rnacentral:rRNA from 1 species
GUGGGGAAUCUUGCGCAAUGGGCGAAAGCCUGACGCAGCCAUGCCGCGUGAAUGAUGAAGGUCUUAGGAUUGUAAAAUUCUUUCACCGGGGACGAUAAUGACGGUACCCGGAGAAGAAGCCCCGGCUAACUUCGUGCCAGCAGCCGCGGUAAUACGAAGGGGGCUAGCGUUGCUCGGAAUUACUGGGCGUAAAGGGCGCGUAGGCGGACAGUUUAGUCAGAGGUGAAAGCCCAGGGCUCAACCUUGGAAUUGCCUUUGAUACUGGCUGUCUUGAGUACGGGAGAGGUGAGUGGAACUCCGAGUGUAGAGGUGAAAUUCGUAGAUAUUCGGAGGAACACCAGUGGCGAAGGCGGCUCACUGGCUCGAUACUGACGCUGAGGUGCGAAAGCGUGGGGAGCAAACAGGAUUAGAUACCCGAGUAGUCC